CUACGGGCCGCACCAGUCGAGAAUCUUUCGCAAUGGGGGAAACCCUGACGAAGCGACGCCGCGUGAGCGAUGAAGGUCUUCGGAUUGUAAAGCUCUGUCACAAGGGAAGAAACGCAUUUCAGUGAAUAAUUGAUUUGCUUGACGGUACCUUGAGAGGAAGCUCCGGCUAACUCCGUGCCAGCAGCCGCGGUAAUACGGAGGGAGCAAGCGUUGUUCGGAUUUACUGGGUGUAAAGGGUGCGUAGGCGGUUUGGUAAGUUAGAUGUGAAAUCUCGGGGCUCAACCCCGAAACUGCAUUUAAUACUGCCAGGCUAGAGGACGAAAGAGGGAGAUGGAAUUCUCGGUGUAAGGGUGAAAUCUGCAGAUAUCGAGAGGAACACCAGUUGCGAAGGCGAUCUCCUGGGUCGAUACUGACGCUGAAGCACGAAAGCUAGGGUAGCGAACGGGAUUAGAUACCCCUGUAGUC
rnacentral:rRNA from 1 species